rnacentral:rRNA from 1 species
GACGAACGCUGGCGGCGUGCCUAAUACAUGCAAGUUGAGCGAUGAAGAUUGGUGCUUGCACCAAUUUGAAGAGCAGCGAACGGGUGAGUAACGCGUGGGGAAUCUGCCUUUGAGCGGGGGACAACAUUUGGAAACGAAUGCUAAUACCGCAUAACAACUUUAAACAUAAGUUUUAAGUUUGAAAGAUGCAAUUGCAUCACUCAAAGAUGAUCCCGCGUUGUAUUAGCUAGUUGGUGAGGUAAAGGCUCACCAAGGCGAUGAUACAUAGCCGACCUGAGAGGGUGAUCGGCCACACUGGGACUGAGACAAGGCCCAAACUCCUACGGGAGGCAGCAGUAGGGAAUCUUCGGCGAUGGACGAAAGUCUGACCGAGCAAAGCCGCGUGAGUGAAGAAGGUUUUCGGAUCGUAAAACUCUGUUGGUAGAGAAGAACGUUGGUGAGAGUGGAAAGCUCAUCAAGUGACGGUAACUACACAGAAAGGGACGGCUAACUACGUG